GCAAGUCGAGGGGCAGCACGAGUACUUGUACUUGGUGGCGACCGGCGCACGGGUGCGUAACGCGUAUGCAACCUACCUUAUACAGAGGGAUAGCCCAGAGAAAUUUGGAUUAAUACCUCAUAGUAUCAUUUGAAGGCAUCUGAAGAUGAUUAAAGAUUUAUCGGUAUAAGAUGGGCAUGCGUAAGAUUAGUUAGUUGGUGAGGUAACGGCUCACCAAGACUUCGAUCUUUAGGGGUCCUGAGAGGGAGAUC
rnacentral:rRNA from 1 species